UGGUGUCUGCCUCCCAUGGCGCCGGGAAGU
rnacentral:piRNA from 1 species